CUGGUUGAUCCUGCCAGAGGUUACUGCUAUCGAGAUUCGACUAAGCCAUGCGAGUCGAAUGUUCUUCGUGAACAUGGCGAACUGCUCAGUAACACGUGGACAACCUACCCUUGGGUUCGGCAUAAUCCUGGGAAACUGGGGAUAAUACCGGAUAGGUCACAGCUGCUGGAAUGCACUGUGGCUCAAAGCUCCGGCGCCCAAGGAUGGGUCUGCGGCCUAUCAGGGUUGUAGUGGGUGUAAUGUACCUACUAGCCUACGACGGGUACGGGUUGUGAGAGCAAGAGCCCGGAGAUGGAUUCUGAGACACGAAUCCAGGCCCUACGGGGUGCAGCAGGCGCGAAAACUUUACAAUGCGGGAAACCGUGAUAAGGGAAUCUCGAGUGCCAGCAUAUAAUGUUGGCUGUCCAGAUGCCUAAAAAGCAUCUGUUAGCAAGGGCCGGGCAAGACCGGUGCCAGCCGCCGCGGUAACACCGGCGGCCCGAGUGGUAACCGCUAUUAUUGGGUCUAAAGGGUCUGUAGCCGGCCAGGUAAGUCCCUUGGGAAAUCUGGCCGCUCAACUGUCAGGCUGCUAGGGGAUACUGUUUGGCUUGGGACCGGGAGAGGUGAGAGGUACCUUGGGGGUAGGGGUGAAAUCUUGUGAUCCUCGGGGGACCACCAGUGGCGAAGGCGUCUCACCAGAACGGGUCCGACGGUAAGGGACGAAAGCUAGGGGCACGAACCGGAUUAGAUACCCGGGUAGUCCUAGCCGUAAACGAUGCUCGCUAGGUGUCAGUCACGGUGCGACCGUGAUUGGUGCCGUAGGGAAGCCGUGAAGCGAGCCACCUGGGAAGUAUGGCCGCAAGGCUGAAACUUAAAGGAAUUGGCGGGGGAGCACUAC
rnacentral:rRNA from 1 species